UACGUAGGGACCAAGCGUUGUUCGGAUUUACUGGGCGUAAAGGGCGCGUAGGCGGCGUAGUAAGUCACUUGUGAAAUCUCUGAGCUUAACUCAGAACGGCCAAGUGAUACUGCUGUGCUAGAGUGCAGAAGGGGCAAUCGGAAUUCUUGGUGUAGCGGUGAAAUGCGUAGAUAUCAAGAGGAACACCUGAGGUGAAGACGGGUUGCUGGGCUGACACUGACGCUGAGGCGCGAAAGCCAGGGGAGCAAACGGG
rnacentral:rRNA from 1 species